CACCAAGCUGGUGAUCAUUUGGCUGUGGGUGGUGGAGGGUGGGGAGGUGGGGGGUGACAUGGUGCAGACCUUGGGGCUUGGCACGCGGGUGGGCGCUCAGUGACAUGUAGGAAUGGGGGCGUCACUUAGAGGCCGAGCUUCCCCAGUGCAGUUCUCUCUCAAGUGACCCAGCUCAUGUCCUAACAGGUCUGACAUCAGAGGAACAGCCCUGGGGGCUGGGCAGGGGCAGGGCCUUCUGUCCUCUGGGGGACGCAGCCCAGAGCAGCUCUGCCCCUCCAUCCCCUGACAGCUUCCCUCCAGCUUUGGCUGCAGAUGUUCCCAUCCCAUGUUGUCCCUGAUGUCUCACCCCUCCCCGCUAGUCUGUCAGAGUAAGGACUUGAACUCAGGUCUGUCUGUAUCAGUUACAACUGUGUUUAAUUGCAAGCACUAGAUAAUCUGGCAAAUGGUGGCUUGAAAGCUUAGAGGUUUGUUUCUUUCACCUGAAAAGAGGUCCAAAUGUGGACCUCUUUUAACCCUCCAUCGGAUCUGAUGACCUUUACAAUGGCCGAGGAUUGGCCACCCUGGGAGAAUAACCACAGCUGAAUCCACAGGGCCUCAACUAUCAGGCCCUGAACUAGGCAAAUCACAGAGCCCUGUGAGGUAGGUGCUGUUACUGUCCACAGUGUACCAAUGAGGAAACUGAGGCACAAAGAGGUUAAGUCACUUGCCCAAGGUCACACUGCUCAUAUGUCAUGUACCAACCUCCUCACACCCAAACUCCCUCCCCACAGCUGGUGAAAGGCCCCUGUGAUGACAUUGUCCUUGCCUUAUUACGAAGAAGAGGAAGCUGAGGUCCAGAGAGGGCAAGUGACUUGUCCAAGGUCACACAGCACAUCAGUGGCCAAGCCAGACCUCUUGAUUCUUGCCCAGGCCUCCACCUGCAGGCCGCUCUGGCCACCUCCUUCUCCAUCCCUGGCGGGGAAGAGACCCAAAGGCUGGAGGAGGCUUGGCACAGAGGCCCAGGCAGCUCUGGAGGGCGCCAUGAAGAUGGGCCGUGCCCACAGCCACCAGCAAACCGCCGAGAGACCCUGUGCUCCCUCCUGCCCACCACACACGGCACAGAAACACAUCCUGUGAAAACGAAGGUUGGCUCGAAGUAAACAGCUGCGCAGGGAUGACCAUCUGCUGAUGGAUGCUAUGGCUGUGACUUCCCCAUGCUUCUUGCUCUACCACAACCCCGCUGCGGUCCUGGGACCUCUGCUCUCACAAUUCUGAGGAGGCCACAUUUGCAAGGCCAUGGGGCUCUGUGGGCACCAUGCUGAGAAGCACCCCACGAAGAGAAAUAAGACAGUGAGGGCUCAGAACAGGGCCUGGAGCAGUUCACGGUUUAGUGAGAAGAUGAGACGCCAGGCUCCAGAAGCGGGAUACAAAGACAAGGUUGUGAGUUCAACUUGUAGUAUAAUUUUGC
rnacentral:lncRNA from 1 species